AGAGUUUGAUCCUGGCUCAGGAUGAACGCUAGCGGCAGGCUUAACACAUGCAAGUCGAGGGGCAGCGAGGGUAGCAAUACCUGUCGGCGACCGGCGCAAGGGUGCGUAACGCGUGAGCAACAUGCCCGUAUCAGGGGGAUAAUCCAGGGAAACUUGGUCUAAUACCCCAUAGUAAUCGUUUAAGGCAUCUUAAAUGAUUUAAAGCUUUGGUGGAUACGGAUUGGCUCGCGUGACAUUAGUUAGAUGGUAGGGUAACGGCUUACCAUGACUAUGAUGUCUAGGGGUUCUGAGAGGAAGGUCCCCCACACUGGAACUGAGACACGGUCCAGACUCCUACGGGAGGCAGCAGUGAGGAAUAUUGGACAAUGGAUGGAAAUCUGAUCCAGCCAUGCCGCGUGCAGGAAGAAUGUCCUAUGGAUUGUAAACUGCUUUUGUAUGGGAGCAAUAAGGUCUUCGUGAAGGCCGAUGAGAGUACCAUACGAAUAAGCACCGGCUAACUCCGUGCCAGCAGCCGCGGUAAUACGGAGGGUGCAAGCGUUAUCCGGAUUUAUUGGGUUUAAAGGGUGCGUAGGCGGUUAUAUAAGUCAGCGGUGAAAUUUUUCGGCUCAACCGGAAACAUGCCGUUGAUACUGUAUAGCUUGAAUAUGGUUGCUGUGAGUGGAAUGUGUAGUGUAGCGGUGAAAUGCUUAGAUAUUACACAGAAUAUCGAUUGCGAAGGCAACUCACAAAGCCAUUAUUGACGCUGAGGCACGAAAGUGUGGGGAUCAAACAGGAUUAGAU
rnacentral:rRNA from 1 species